UCAAGAGGCUGUGAGGCAGCUCAGCGUCUCCAUUAGAAUUCAGAGUAUUCCACGGUAAUUACAAAACAGCUGUAAUGGAAAAUUGGUAGUCAAACCCAUUUUCCAGCGACUAGAACGGUGAAUGGGCUCCAUUAUGUUCCUAAUUCUCAUUAACUUAAUUUGCAUAGGAAACAAUGAAGGAAUACAUAAUGAAGUACAGUGGGCCAGCAGCCCAGCCCUCACCCCCACAAUGCUGGGUUCAACUUGCACUGACCCACCCCACAGAGAGGGAGAAACCCAGGGCUCCCUGUGGACUGGACCUCCCCCAGGUGACCUGAAGCUGCCCUGAUGGAGCACAAUGGAGGGAUACCACUUGUCUGUAACUUGUUCAGGAUCCCUUUGCCUCAGCACACACCAUGUAAACCCUGAUUCUUCUCCACACCCCUGCUUUGGGGAAGGCUGAAGAACUGGAGCAGAAGGAAAAAGAACUUGUUUUUAGCUCUUCAGGUGCCAUAACUCUGCAUCCCAGAGAGAAAACAAACACCUGCUUGAGAAGCAGUAUUGUUGGUCCCUGUGUAAGAAACAACCAGACGACCCUCCAGAUACAAACACCUUCUCUUCCCUGCAGCCAGCACCACCCUCACAGUUUGGAGCCACAGCCUACCAUGUAUGCAGACAAUAGGAAACAGCAAUGCCUUUGUGCUUCAGGGAGAAGAGGAGAAGGGCAGGAGAGUAAAUGUGGUCGUGACGAAACACAAACCAUGCAAUGCCAUGCACAUCUUUUUCCUGUUGGAUAUCGGGAUGUAUUUGGCUCAAUAUCUAGUGCACGCACAGUAUCAGGCUCACAAAAAUAUGGAGAACUAACUGGAUACCUGAGAAGAGAAGAAGGGAAAGAAGAAGACUGGAGAUGCAAAUGCAUAGAGAACCUGGAGGCAGAAACUAGAGCAGAGGCCAUGGAGGAGCCAUACUACUGACUUACUCCCAGAUUCACACCUCUCAAGACCACCUGCCUAGAGAUAGCACAGCUCACAGUGAGCUGGGCACUCCCCCAUCAAUCAGCAAUCAAGAAAAGACCCUGAAGACAUGUCUACAAGCCAAUCCAAUGGGGGAAAAUUUUCAACUGGGGUUCACACAUCCAAAUGUGACAAGUUGACCACAAGGUGAGUUAGUCAUCACAGAUGUGAAAUCACUUUGUCAUAGCAUCAUUUUUUUUUCUAUCUCAAGAGGAACUGUAGGUUUUUCCUAUUUCAACGUCUCAAUGGAAGAAUGACUGUCUUGAACAUUAAAUUUGGACUUGAUCUUGCUUUCAGCCGCAGACUUCCUGAGAUGUUACAGCCAUAAUAAACAAACCUCCCUCCUGAUGCCCCAGUUCAGAAUUCCACAUGUGGAAGAGAUUAUUUCAUAGGCGACAUGGCGAAGAAUGAGGUAGCAUCUGAACAAUAAAGGUCUCAGAUCUAAUUUUCUGAACCCUACAAUAAGGUUGAUAACUGAGUGGCGGUUAGCAAUGCACCUUAGACUGAUUUGGCUUCUCUUUCCUCUUAGAACCCUGGGCACACCCAGUGGUAUCCAGAUCUCUCUAGGUAUGAGAUAGUUGAGACCCCAGACUGGGAUUGUAUUAGCCUACAUAAGUAGCUCUGGGUGUCUUGACCUUUCACAGUUACCAGAAUCAUCUGGACACGAUGUUGCAAAUCCCAGUAACUGGACCAGACCCUCCCUAGGUUUGUUAAUUUCAGAUGGCUAGUUUGUAGACUUAGCCAUAAUUAUUUUUGCUAAACUUCUGGCUAUCUCCAUCGUAACGAAUACCAGGAGUCACUGUUCUCCAUGAACCACAAAGGAAGAUCAUGUCUACAUGGAUUACCUAGUUCCAUCAUGUAAUAUUGCCUGAGUGAGUGAUCACAGAGACUUCGGUCUAAUACCACAAAGAGAAGAAUCUCCCAGAGUCCCCUGCGUAGAUGCCCUAGAACAAGGACUUAUGAAGAAUCAGUACUGCAUCCAGAGAAGACAGUGCAGUCCUGAAGCCAGAGCUUGGACACAGAGUCAAACUGAGGGCUGUGAAAUGUCAAGCUGCCAGGCAAAAUCUAAGGACCCCAGGCGAAGAGACGGUUUACCUGUAUUCAGAGCGAACCUUCCAAGCGCAGUGAAACCUUUCUGGAGACACCCUCACGGACAAUCACAAAAGUGUCUUUCUUAGUGAUUCCAAAUGUACUAAAGCUGACAAGAAAGAUCAUCCCGUCACACUGGGUUUGCUUCCAGUCUGCUCAGAGAAGGAUUUCCAAGUUUCUCCAGCUGUACUGAGGGGGAAGCUUGGUUCUGGAGCUAAGGAAGUUCAUCAUUUGGUAAAGAUCUUUCUGCAUUGUCACAUGUCGGAAGACAAAUGCCUGAGAGACAGAGAUCACACAAAUCAGUUCUUUUAUCAGGAACCCAUUCUGAGUUUAAUGAGCCUGAGAAUUUUCCUCCAGAGAACGUUUCCCAGAAUAUUACACAGCUUUGGAAACAAAUACCAGCUCCAGUUGUAUGGCCUGAAAACAUCAGUGUGGUCCUAAAGGAAACAAAUCCACCCUAAGGGAGUAUGAUAAGAACCCAACACAACUGUCUUGAGAGGCUUCAUCCAGACGCUGAUGGAAAUAAAUGUAGAGACCCACAGCCAAAACAUUAGACAGAGCAUGAGGAGUCUUGUGGAAGAGUCGGGGACAGGAUUGAGGGAUCCAGAGAGAUCAAGGCUACCACAAGAAGACCUACAGAGUCAACUAAGCUGGGCCCAUGGGGCUUCACAAAGACUGAACCACCAACCAAAAACCAUGUGUUUCUAUGUUUUCAUCAUUAUUUUCAUGAUAAUGCUAGAAGGAAACGUUGUUCUCAUGCCUCUAUAUAUGAAGGCAACCCAAAAGACAUGUGUCAACCUCUACAGCAGCAAGGAAAGGUUGGGAGUGGGAGGCCUCUCAAUACUUUCUGCUUCUCCAAGUGGCCAAACUCACCGGCAGAUCUUGCUGCAGCAAUGACAAGAAAGGUGCUUCCUGGUGAAGUCCUGGAUGAAGCCUAUGGAGAAGGGAAGGCUGCUGAGAACAUCCUGCCACCUCCCACAAUGCACCAAAAAAAGAAGCCUUGGUCUUUAAUGCCAGUCCUAAUUGAGUGGAUGGACCCCAUAGGUGAGCCCCAAAUUGGGAACCAUGGGAGGUUAGAAAUUAAACAGCAGCUUCAGUCUGCAAACUCAGAAACCUUGCAGGCUGGUGGGAGGAGGAGAAGAAACCAGAACUGGUUCUAUGCCCCGAUGCUCUCUGGUGUGGACAUACUGGUGUAGUUACCUGGUGGUGAAAUUUCAGGGCUCUCCAAAGGUAGAGCCACUCCAGCUUCUCACGGGGACUCUUAACAUUUCACAUACUAAACUAUCUCCUUAUACAGAUAGUGAUGAUGCUGAUAUACUGGGUAAAUUAUUUCCAUUUACAUUAAAAUUACACCUGCUUCAUCCAACGGGGAGGAGGACCAACAGGCUCUGGUGAAGUGGAUCAGAGUGAGAAGAAGCUUAACAGAAUUCUGAAAAGGAGCCUGGUUUGACUCUGAAAGUGUUCCGUAGGGAAAGAAGCCUCACCAGAAAUUGGCCAUGUGAAACAGAACUGAGAAUGGAGAAAAUUGCUUCCAGUUCCAGGUAGAGAGACCAAGACAACAUGAUUGGCAAGUGGGAUAUAUGGAAGAGGUCACUAGAGUUCAAGGUCCUUCAUACUCAUGUGAGAGAAAAAGAAAAAGGAAAUGAUGCAAAGAAGAAAUCAAAAGUCCACUGAGUUCAGUCACCCAUAAGAAACAUGAGGUAAGUGACCCAGAGGUUGAGGGGACCUGGGGCUCUAUAACUGAAUGCUGAUCAACCCUCAGGAGAAGAACUGUAGAAAGCAAUGGAGAGGUAGAGAAAGGUAGAAAAGCAGAUAUUUCUGUAGCACUUACCUGUGUAGCACUGACUCUGGGUAGUCUCUAAGUAGAACUGACGGCAUUGCAAACACAAUAAGCAGUUCUAGACAAACUGGAAUAGCAAUCAGUUUGGGAGCCUGGGAGUAGUCACACUUUUGCUGUUGUCAACGCUUUCAGUGGCUUUAAUUUUCAGUGGUAAGCACAACUUCUAUAUAGUGUUGUCAAAAUUGCAAUGAAGUUAUGUCAUUGAAUAUUAAAGGCCCAACCCAUGGAGUGCCAACACAUAGAUUUGAAUUUCAUGCUUGCCCCUAAACAUCAAGAUAAAUAUGUCUAAUUUUAUAAAAACCUGGCCAACCCCAUGGAGGCUGACAAUUACAUCUAUUGUUACCCAAGUAUGCUAGAAUAAAACCUGGCUCUGAUCAAUGUGUGAGAGCAAAAAUUGGAGGGAAGGGGGGAAAGGAAAAAAAACACAAGAAUCAUCAUAGAGGCAGUUCAAAUUGGCUACCUGUGUUUGUAAUCUCCUUGUCAAAUACACUGAUUAAUGGGACAUUUGAUUUCAGAAGGAUGGGGCCUACAUUUAAUGAACAAUUUUGAAAAAUCACACUGAUAGGUUAUGGGGUGAAUAUUGGGAAACUUGAAAAAUAUAAGACUAAAGGAAGGGAUAAAAAAAACAGACCUGUAAGAGCUCCUAUUACAAGCCAGGCACUUGGGCUCCAUCCUGAAGGCAGUAGCAGCCCCAGCAGGAUUCUAAGCACGAGUGAGGUCAUACUUGUUUCUUAGAAAAAUUACUUUGUCUUCAAAGUAAAAAUUGGAUCAAGGCAGUAAAGCUGGAAAUACAUAGAACAGUAAAGGAUCAAAUGUCUCGUGAGUCCCUGAACUGGGGCAACGAUUAAGGAAACAAAACAUGCCCAGCUUUGAGAGGUAAGAGAUCAGUAUGCCUGUCACUGCUUUGAAUGAUAGGGUAAGGAAAAAGGAGUGGUAAGGGAAGUCAAUUAGAUUUCUGGGUGUGACGGGAGUAUAGUCAGUAAGUAACUCAUGAUUCUGAAGUAUUAAUGUACACUAUAUUAAUUCCAGAUUUUCAAUGUACUGUAAGGCAUGUUAAUUAUGAUAAGGGGAGCCUUAGAUGCUCAUCCUAAGUCAAUUGAGUGAAGAGUCCACUCAUCUAAUCAAUGUAUCACUGUGGUGAUCUGAAGCCCUGGGUGAAUGAGUAAGGAGUAGAUGGAGUCCUGCGUGAAUGUGUGCUGUUGGUAUGAUGUCAAGGACCCCAGAUCCAUGGAAAUUGAAGGCCUUCCCCUAGUUAGACUCGGGGAAAGAGCAAAGCCAAUUUCUGGUCUGAAUGAAUGCUAGCAGUGUAUGCAGAAUGCACACUAAUAAAUCCUGGGUUGUGCAGUUGGUACCUCCCAUCAGUGCUAGCACAGCUGACAUGAGCCUCCCUUCUCUACAUGUGUAUGUCAUUUCUUCAGAGUGUUAUGUCUUUACCCCUAAGUCUCCCAUGUCAGGUUUCCAGAAUCAAGCUGUGCAACACAGCACAUGAUGUGAUAGAGAGCUCAAUAGAAAAAGACAGUGACAAAGUCUAAUUUAUAAUUUAGUCCAAUUUGUGAUUUAGACAAAGUCCAAAGUUAGGAAUUGAAUUAGAAGAAGAGCACAGGGAGACCAGAGAAAGACAAGAAAGGUGGUUUGGAAGAAAGAAGGAGAGUGCAUCAAAAGUAGGAUGCUGGAGGUCACAGGGGCAAAGAAACGAAAGCUAAACUACUAGGGAGCUAGAUGUAAAACCCUAACCCAGGGCAGCCCUGUGGUCCUGGGAAGACAGAUGUGGCAUGGGUAGCCUCUUCCUGAGGCUGGGGUAAUUAGCUCUUGACUGAGUCCUAGUAUUUAUGACCUCAUUUCUCCUUUUCUCUUUCUCCAAUUUUCUCAUUUCUCUCAUUCAAGAUGCAAGAUUCUUGCCUCCUUAAUGAAACAUCUCUUGUCCUACAUUACUCUUCUUGGACCUAACUUUCUACCAUACAGAGUUUGAAUCAUGUCCCAUCUAAGCCCGGAAUCACAUGAAUUACCUGUCUGGUUUUCUUCUUCAUGGGUCCAUGUGGCAUAAAUAAAAGAACUGAUAUGGUUUGGAGCCAAUCAGACCUUAAAAUACAAAAUCUCCUAUGGUCCUGAAGCUGCCAUUGCUCCAAACAUCUCACCCCAUCUCACUCUAGCCACACUGUACUCAUCUUGAUCAUUCAAACACACCACACCUCCAGAUCAAUUUGCCGAUGAACCAUGAGUAUGAACAUAUGUCACAAGCAAGAAAAGCCAGCAAAAAGUAUAAUCAACCCCUUGUGUAUGGGCCUAUGAUAGCCUGUGCUCUAGAUUGUAGAUCCCAGAUAGACUACCUUGCCUUAAUCUAUAUACCUAAAUGCAGUGUACUCCAGUUGCUUGGCAAAUUUCCUGGACCUACAACUGAUACUAAGAAUAUAAAAAAUAAAGCUGCAUAGUGUUGAACAACUGACAUCUGGAUAUCUUUUGUUCCUGCCUUGUAUAGCCAUUUCUGAUAAACAUAGAGGCCAGAAGGCUCUGAAACUAGAGAACAAUGAGAAAUCUACAAAU
rnacentral:sRNA from 1 species